UGCCAGCCGCCGCGGUAAUACGGAGGGACCAAGCGUUGUUCGGAAUCAUUGGGCGUAAAGCGCGUGUAGGCGGCCUGGCAAGUCGGAUGUGAAAGCCCGGGGCUCAACCCCGGAAUUGCACUCGAAACUGCCAGGCUAGAGUUUCGGAGAGGAGGGCGGAAUUCCCGGUGUAGAGGUGAAAUUCGUAGAUAUCGGGAGGAACACCAGUGGCGAAGGCGGCCCUCUGGACGAUGACUGACGCUGAGACGCGAAAGCGUGGGGAGCAAACAGGAUUAGAUA
rnacentral:rRNA from 1 species